GUCUCACUAGCUCAGUUGGUAGGGUGUGAGACUAUUAAUCUCAAGGUCUUGGGUUUAAGCCCCACAGUGUGCA
rnacentral:tRNA from 1 species